AUGCAACUGCAACAGAUGUUGAAAAUUCACACGUGGAUCCCAAAGGCGUAUAUAAUUAUGAACAUAAAUCUAUGCAUAUUGUGUUUGAACGGAUGACUAAAACGUUUGUUGAAAAAUUGUAAAUUACACCAAAUUUCCGAGAGAACGAGUGAUGCAAUCUCAAAUGUGGUCAGUCGUGCUGAUAGUCCUUGUCCUAUCAUGUGCGACACAGUGUAUGCCUGGCUCGACAAAGUUCUUGGCGAACAGGCAUGCAGCAAAGAAGAAUGUAUUCAAAAGGGAAGCAAUCGGAGCUAAAGAUGGACAAAACGUGAUUUUACCAGAUGUUUCCAAGAUUUCAGACAGAAAACAGAACAAGAAAGAUAUAUAUUAUAUUAAUGUAUUUCGUGGAUAAAGAGGUUGAUAUUACAUUGAAGUAAUUAAAUCUCAUUUCAUAAUUAAAAACAUUUUAUUACAUGUUAUUAAUGAAAACAGAUAUUACAUUGCAUAAAAUUGCAUUUAUAAAUAUAUAGAAUAUUAAUUGCUAUCUCAACACGAAAUGAUAUUUAAACAAUCAAUUAUUUACUUGUGUAUUUUAUAAUAAGGUGUUGUCUUCACUCAGACUAAGAGCCGUCUUCUGUAAUAUGUGUAUGUGAUUUUGUUUUAUGUGUUUAAAUAGGACUCGAUAAUGCAUUCUAAUUAGAACAGUGAACAAUAUAUGUCAAAGCAAAACUUUAUUCCAAUAAAUGAUCAAAUGGA